rnacentral:tRNA from 1 species
CCUUAUUGAUUUUUAUAUCUUAUCAAUGUUUACCGUAAAUAUUGUCAGGGUGCGGUUAGGC